UGUAUGUGUCUUCUCAAGACCAAUGCAUAUUGUUGUUACAAUCCAAUUGAGUUACUGAAAAUUCUCAAAUAGAGUCAGAUUGAAACACAUGAAUGUAUAAGGGGUAAAACACACAUGAUUAAGAAGACAACAAAACUCAUACAAGGGCAUCAGUUCUCGAAGAUGAUUUAACUUCAAAGAAAAUUCAGAUGCAAAUUACCCAUUUACCAUGAGAUUCAUCAUAUGCCCAAUUAAGGAUGAAAUUGAAAACAUGAGAAUAAGGAUAGAAAACAAACAAAAAAGAAGCAGAACGCAUAAAUAUUGGAAAUGAUGUGAUCAGAACCUGUCGGAUUUA